AGUUUGAUCAUGGCUCAGAUUGAACGCUGGCGGCAUGCCUAACACAUGCAAGUCGAACGGCAGCGCGGGCUUCGGCCGUGGCGGCGAGUGGCGGACGGGUGAGGAAUACAUAGGAAUCUGCCCAGUCGUGGGGAGUAACCCGGGGAAACCCGGACUAAUACCGCAUACGACGGUGACGUGAAAGCCGGGGACCUUCGGGCCUGGCGCGAUUGGAUGAGCCUAUGUCGGAUUAGCUAGUUGGCGGGGUAAAGGCCCACCAAGGCGACGAUCCGUAGCUGGUCUGAGAGGAUGAUCAGCCACACUGGGACUGAGACACGGCCCAGACUCCUACGGGAGGCAGCAGUGGGGAAUAUUGGACAAUGGGCGCAAGCCUGAUCCAGCAAUGCCGCGUGGGUGAAGAAGGCCUUCGGGUUGUAAAGCCCUUUUGUACGGGAAGAAAUCAUCCGGGUUAAUACCCUGGGUGGAUGACGGUACCGUAAGAAUAAGCACCGGCUAACUUCGUG
rnacentral:rRNA from 1 species